rnacentral:hammerhead_ribozyme from 1 species
AUCCAUUUGACGAGUCCCAGAUAGGACGAAAUGCGCGUUAUGCAG